ACGCACGCUGGCGGCGUGCUUCACACAUGCAAGUCGCACGGAAAGGCCCUGCUUUUGUGGGGUGCUCGAGUGGCGAACGGGUGAGUAACACGUGAGUAACCUGCCCUUGACUUUGGGAUAACUUCAGGAAACUGGGGCUAAUACCGGAUAGGAGCUCCUGCUGCAUGGUGGGGGUUGGAAAGUUUCGGCGGUUGGGGAUGGACUCGCGGCUUAUCAGCUUGUUGGUGGGGUAGUGGCUUACCAAGGCUUUGACGGGUAGCCGGCCUGAGAGGGUGACCGGCCACAUUGGGACUGAGAUACGGCCCAGACUCCUACGGGAGGCAGCAGUGGGGAAUAUUGCACAAUGGGCGGAAGCCUGAUGCAGCAACGCCGCGUGCGGGAUGACGGCCUUCGGGUUGUAAACCGCUUUCGCCUGUGACGAGGCGUGAGUGACGGUAAUGGGUAAAGAAGCACCGGCUAACUACGUG
rnacentral:rRNA from 1 species